rnacentral:rRNA from 1 species
GCGGCCUAUCAGCUUGUUGGUGAGGUAACGGCUCACCAAGGCAGCGACGGGUAGCUGGUCUGAGAGGACGGUCAGCCACACUGGGACUGAGACACGGCCCAGACUCCUACGGGAGGCAGCAGUAGGGAAUCUUGCGCAAUGGGCGAAAGCCUGACGCAGCAACGCCGCGUGGGGGAUGAAGGCUCUCGGGUUGUAAACCCCUUUCAGCAGGGACGAUUGUGACGGUACCUGCAGAAGAAGGACCGGCCAACUACGUGCCAGCAGCCGCGGUAAUACGUAGGGUCCGAGCGUUGUCCGGAUUUAUUGGGCGUAAAGAGCUCGUAGGCGGCUCAGUAAGUCGGAUGUGAAAACUCGGGGCUCAACCCCGAGACGCCAUCCGAUACUGCUGUGGCUCGAAUCUGGUAGGGGAGCACGGAAUUCCUGGUGUAGCGGUGAAAUGCGCAGAUAUCAGGAGGAACACCGGCGGCGAAGGCGGUGCUCUGGGCCAGUAUUGACGCUGAGGAGCGAAAGCGUGGGUAGCAAACAGGAUUAGAUACCCUGGUAGUCCACGCCGUAAACGUUGGGCACUAGGUGUGGGUUCCUAUCGACGGAAUCCGUGCCGUAGCUAACGCAUUAAGUGCCCCGCCUGGGGAGUACGG